UCUUACCUGACGCUUCCCAGACGACCCCCCACGACCCCCACCACUGCUCCCAACCGUGACGAGGCCGAGUCAGGUCGUCUGCCACCUCACGACCUGCCAGCGAGUCGUUAAGGUUUCAAUUCGCAACACCACGCGGGAUCCUUCAAAGCACCUGCGGGAAGUUACUUGGUGUUGCAGCGGACGGUACUUAGGUCAUGCAAGCCUCAGGUCAAAUGAUCCUCAACACAGAUCGAUCCGAGUGCAAAGUUAAUAGGCGUCAGGAUGCUUGGUGUUCGAGACGCUUGCUGCCCAAACCACUUAGCCC